rnacentral:rRNA from 1 species
UACGGAGGGUGCGAGCGUUGUCCGGAAUCACUGGGCGUAAAGGGCGCGUAGGUGGCGCGACAAGUCAACGGUGAAAGCCCGGGGCUCAACCCCGGGUCGGCCGUCGAUACUGUUGGGCUUGAGCACUGUAGAGGCAGGUGGAAUUCCGGGUGUAGUGGUGAAAUUCGUAGAUAUUGGGAAGAACACCGAUGGCGAAGGCAGCCAUCUGGACCGACACUGACGCUGAGGCGCGAAAGCGUGGGGAGCAAACAGG